UCUUAACCACACAAAUAUGGUAGUUUCCUAUAAUAUGUGGCACAUCAUCAAGGACUGCCUUAUUGACCUGCAGAAAUGGAAAACAGAUGAAUGAAUGAUCUUCAAGGUGCAGUUAGAGACAAAAUUUGGAAACAUAUGAAACAAUAAGUCCUUACGCUGCCAUAAAACGAAGCACACUAAUUAACGAGGAUACAUUCACAUCUGUACAUAAGACCAAAACGAACGUACAAAGUUGAACAUGCUUUUUUAUUCCUAGUCUGUUAUUUAUCCAAAGGCAUGUGCUGGCGACAAUGGGAUCGUUCCAGCAAGUUUAAGUAGGACCCGACAAGAGCAUAUUGGUUUUUAUUUCAGCCAGGUAAAACUUUCAUAACCUACGACAGUGCCUCAAAUUGUACAAUUCUACAAUGUUACAAUGGUCAGAGGCAGAAAUGGGAUAUCACUUCAGUGCAAUAGGUAGUUGAAAUCUGGCUCCACCAAUGGAUGCAAAAAUAAUUGGACAGCGUCGAGAGCUCAAAGGUGAUGCAAUCAAAUCCCUUUGUACCGCUCUAAACACAUCCAGGUAACUCGAUCAACCACUUCCGCCUGAAGAAAGUGGAACGUCAAGCAUUUUCUAUCAUAUAACGCUGGGUAAAAAUGGUCUGAAACUGGAUAAAUAGGUAUUGGCUUGAGUCUUCGGCGUAAUUGUGAGAAGCCGGGAAGAAGGCCCUCAAAAGAGGACAUGGGUGACGCCUUCUUCACCAGACUCCGUCCCCAUUUCCCUCCACUUCCUUUAAUGUGAAGCUGUAACUCCUGCUAUAGAGAGAGAGAGAGAGAGAAGGCGGGGACCUUGACGUACUUGAACUGGGGACUGGUGAAGUAGAGAAAGAGACGAAGUUUGCAGCCUCCACAAUCUACACCUGCCUUUCCUCCACGAAAUUGGUCGAUUGGUGACUCACGGCAAAUGUUGCUAGAAUCCUGCGAUGAAAGAAUUUUAGCUUUCUCUGCCUGGAAUUUUGUUGUAAAUUGACUAAUAAAGUCAGAAGGAUAGUAUACUCUCAAACGUCAGUCCAGACCUUCGAAAGGUCUCGUACAACCUUUCCUAUGGGAUUGCUAAUUUAUGUCCUUUUCAAUGGUUAUGAUUUUCUCCUAUUCCGGAAUCACAAACUGAUUCAAAACUUACACUUACCACAUCUACGUGUUGUCUGGCCUACAGGGUUGGCUACCUAGGGAAUCGUCGUGCUUGAGGAAGUGCUGAUGUAGAUAGUAAACAAAAGAUUCAUAGUGCAUUGGAGAAUUAAUCCACGUAAAAAGCUGUAUCUGUUGGAACCAAAAGGAUUUGGAGGGAGAGAGUACACACACAAAGAGAGAUUAUAUUACACAAUAUGCCUUUGUAAAGGCUUAAGAGAGUACACACACUAACUUUGCUAAGCUUAAAACUCUCUCUAAAAUCUCACUUUCUCUCACUUUUACAGAC
rnacentral:lncRNA from 1 species